CCUACGGGAGGCAGCAGUAGGGAAUCUUCCACAAUGGGCGAAAGCCUGAUGGAGCAACGCCGCGUGGGUGAAGAAGGUCUUCGGAUCGUAAAACCCUGUUGUUAGAGAAGAAAGUGCGGGUGAGUAACUGUUCACGUGUCGACGGUAUCUAACCAGAAAGCCACGGCUUACUACGUGCCAGCAGCCGCGGUAAUACGUAGGUGGCAAGCGUUAUCCGGAUUUAUUGGGCGUAAAGGGAACGCAGGCGGUCUUUUAAGUCUGAUGUGAAAGCCUUCGGCUUAACCGGGGUAGUGCAUUGGAGACUGGGAGACUUGAGUGCAGGAGAGGAGAGUGGAACUCCAUGUGUAGCGGUGAAAUGCGUAGAUAUAUGGAAGAACACCAGUGGCGAAGGCGGCUCUCUGGUCUGUAACUGACGCUGAGGUUCGAAAGCGUGGGUAGCAAACAGGAUUAGAUACCCGUGUAGUC
rnacentral:rRNA from 1 species